GGGCCCGCACAAGCAGUGGAGCAUGUGGUUUAAUUCGAUGCAACGCGAAGAACCUUACCAGGGCUUGACAUACUACAAAUCUUUUAGAGAUAGAAGAGUGCUUUCGAGAAUGUAGAUACAGGUGGUGCAUGGCUGUCGUCAGCUCGUGUCGUGAGAUGUUGGGUUAAGUCCCGCAACGAGCGCAACCCUCGUUUUAGUUGCCAAUUUAUUGGUUUUUUAGAAAGACUGCCGGUGACAAACCGGAGGAAGGUGAGGAUGACGUCAAGUCAGCAUGCCCCUUAUGUCCUGGGCUACACACGUGCUACAAUGAUGGGGACAAAGAGUUGCCAAUCUGCGAAGAUGAGCUAAUCUCGUAAACCCCAUCCAAGUUCGGAUUGUAGGCUGCAACUCGCCUACAUGAAGUUGGAAUUGCUAGUAAUCG
rnacentral:rRNA from 1 species